rnacentral:rRNA from 1 species
ACAAAGAUAGUUUACUAUUUUGGUGGCGACCGGCGCACGGGUGAGUAACGCGUAUGCAACCUACCUUAUACAGGAGUAUAGCCCGAAGAAAUUCGGAUUAAUCCUCCAUAGUAUUUUCUAAUGGCAUCAUUUGGAAAAUUAAAGCUUCGGCGGUAUAAGAUGGGCAUGCGUCCUAUUAGCUAGAUGGUAAGGUAAUGGCUUACCAUGGCAACGAUAGGUAGGGGGCCUGAGAGGGUGAUCCCCCACACUGGUACUGAGACACGGACCAGACUCCUACGGGAGGCAGCAGUGAGGAAUAUUGGGCAAUGGAGGCAACUCUGACCCAGCCAUGCCGCGUGCAGGAAGAAUGCCCUAUGGGUUGUAAACUGCUUUUAUUUAGGAAUAAACCCCUCUACGUGUAGAGGGCUGGAUGUACUAAACGAAUAAGCACCGGCUAACUCCGUGCCAGCAGCCGCGGUAAUACGGAGGGUGCAAGCGUUAUCCGGAAUCAUUGGGUUUAAAGGGUCCGCAGGCGGAUGUAUAAGUCAGUGGUGAAAUCCUGCAGCUUAACUGCAGAACUGCCAUUGAUACUGUACAUCUUGAAUUCGGUCGAAGUGGGCGGAAUGUGUAGUGUAGCGGUGAAAUGCAUAGAUAUUACACAGAACACCGAUAGCGAAGGCAGCUCACUAGGCCUGGAUUGACGCUCAGGGACGAAAGCGUGGGGAUCAAACAGGAUUAGAUACCCUGGUAGUCCACGCUGUAAACGAUGAUUACUCGUUUUCGGCGAUAUACAGUCGGAGACUAAGCGAAAGUGAUAAGUAAUCCACCUGGGGAGUACGAUCGCAAGGUUGAAACUCAAAGGAAUUGACGGGGGCCCGCACAAGCGGUGGAGCAUGUGGUUUAAUUCGAUGAUACGCGAGGAACCUUACCAGGGCUUAAAUGCAGAGCGAAUAGUUUGGAAACAGACUAGCCUUCGGGCGAUCUGCAAGGUGCUGCAUGGCUGUCG